CAUCUUGGGCCACCACCAUGGAAGCCGAGGCCGAGCCAGGAACUGAAACUGGUUUUAGAAAUGGGGGGUAGAUAAGGGCCCGGCUGGAAGGAGCUGCUUGCCCCCACCCACUUCACGUCCUGUAGUCCUGGAGUCUUUAGUCAUACCUGGGUGAGGAGGGGGAGGUUUUUAAGGCAAACCCCUCCCUCCUCUGGGAGUCAUCCUGCGCCUGUCCCCUACAGAGCGCACUCUCUGUCCCCAGCCUCGGCAGACACCACAGUCCGUCACAUGUCCAUCUUCGCACCCUUGCUCUGGAGGCUGCACUCUCUGAUCCGAUCCCCUCCCCGCUCCUCAGCUCCUACGGGGCUGCCUUUUAUAAAGACCCAGCAGAGAGCUGUGGGCUGCACACAGUGUAACUGAGUACAUGCUAAGGUAAGGUGGCCUCAUGCAUGUACGUAGGGCCAUAUAGUUCAGACACCUAAACAUCCAUGUAUCUCCCACCCUUAAAAAACAAUCACUUGAUCCAAUUAUCCCUCCAUCUCUCUUCUUUUUCUCAGAAAAUCUCCUAGAAAAAGCUGCCUAUACUAGGUGUUUUAACUUUUUCUCCUCUCAUUUGACUCGGAACUUUCUGCAUUCUGGCUUUCAACCCAAGCAUUCAACUGAAACUGUUCUUUCUUAAGUCAUCAAUGAUCUCUUAAUUGCCAAAUCUAAUGACCCUUCCUCAGUGCUCAUCCUUCUUGACCCCUCUGUAGCCUGUGACACUAUCAUCCUUUUCUCCUGAAUACUCUGUCCCCUCUACGUUUUUGUGACCCUUACUGCUUUCUCCUGCUUCUUCUCCUGUAUGACCCCUUUCCCAGUUUCUUCCUGGGUCAUCUUCCAGGAUACACCCACUAGAUAUGGAUGUGUCUUGAGGCUCUAUACUGGAGCUACUCUUCUCUUAUAUUAUCUUAUUUGGUGCUCCCAUCAGCUCCCAUAAAUUCACUUCUAAUCUGUAUGUAGAUGACAUCAUGAUGUCUAUAUCUAGCCCUAAUCUCUCAUGAACUCCAGUCUCAUGUUACCAAACAUCUUUUGGACCUCUAAAACUAGAUGUCCUGUAGGCAACUGAAAUUCAAACAUAUCCAAAACAAACUUAACUUUCCAAAGAAAACAAACAAACAAAACCAACCCAAAACAAACCUUCCUCUUUUCACAUCUUGACUAUUUCUGAGGAGGGUACUUCUAUCCUCAAAGUCACCCUGACUUUCACCUCAUUUAUCAUCCUCCUCUCCCAAUACUCACCUCACUCAUUCUAUUGUCACUUUGUUUCUACAGUUGCAAUCUCUCCUGUAUGUAUGCCCUUCUCUCCACUCACACAGUUGCUACCUUUAUGAAGUCUCUCACCACCUCUUGCCUAGGAGAUUGCAAUAGCUUUCUGGCUGCU
rnacentral:lncRNA from 1 species